rnacentral:tRNA from 1 species
GGUUUUAAUAGUUGAAGUACAACGGUGGUUUUUCGAGUCGUAGGUUUUGGUUAAAGGCCAAAUUAAAAUA